UCCUUAGAUGUUCUGGGCCGCACGCGCGCUACAAUGGUCUUCGCAAACGGAUGCAUUCUCGAAGGAGAAUGCCAAUCUUGGAAUCUAUGCCUUGGUCGGGACAGUUGCUUGCAAUUUUUCGACUCGAACCAGGAAUUCCUUGUAAUCGUGAUUCAUCACAUCACGAUGAAUACGUCCCUGCCCUUUGUACACACCGCCCGUCGCUCCUACCGAUCGAAGAGUUAGGUGAAUUGUUUUGAUCGAUAAGAUUUGACUAUGGUCAACUCUCGUUGUGAAAUUCUGUGAAUCUGACUGUUUAGAGGAAGGAAAAGUCGUAACA
rnacentral:rRNA from 1 species